rnacentral:tRNA from 1 species
GCGCAGCCUGGUAGCGCGCUUCGUUCGGGACGAAGAGGCCGCUGGUUCGAAUCCAGUCAUCC